rnacentral:rRNA from 1 species
AGUAAAUAGAUACCCUGGUAGUCCACGCCGUAAACGAUGUCGACUUGGAGGUUGUGCCCUUGAGGCGUGGCUUCCGGAGCUAAACGCGUUAAGUCGACCGCCUGGGGAGUACGGCCGCAAGGUUAAACUCAAAUGAAUUGACGGGGCCCGCACAAGCGGUGGAGCAUGUGGUUUAAUUCGAUGCAACGCGAAGAACCUUACCUACUCUUGACAUCCAGAGAACUUAGCAGAGAUGCUUUGGUGCCUUCGGGAACUCUGAGACAGGUGCUGCAUGGCUGUCGUCAGCUCGUGUUGUGAAAUGUUGGGUUAAGUCCCGCAACGAGCGCAACCCUUAUCCUUUGUUGCCAGCGGUUAGGCCGGGAACUCAAAGGAGACUGCCAGUGAUAAACUGGAGGAAGGUGGGGAUGACGUCAAGUCAUCAUGGCCCUUACGAGUAGGGCUACACACGUGCUACAAUGGCGCAUACAAAGAGAAGCGACCUCGCGAGAGCAAGCGGACCUCAUAAAGUGCGUCGUAGUCCGG